GUGCUCGUUUCAGCAGCACAUACACCAAAACUGGAAUACAGACAAGAUUAGCGUGGCCCCUGCACAAGGAUGACCAUAGAGUUCAGUGACUGCACAGUAGGAU